UAUGUUUUCAAGUUGAAUUGAAAGCCAAAACAUAUUUUAACUAUAUUUUAAACAAGUUGAAUUGAAAGCCAAAACAUAUUUUAACAUAUUUUAACCAUAACCAAAACAUAUUUUGACCAUAUCCCUUAUUAUUGAGGGAGGUAUUUCUUCCCUAGUGCUGUGGGGAUGACUUGGACAGAAACCACUGGACACUAUACAGAUGUAGACUGACAGUUUACUGGUCACCUGCACUAACAGCCUGAGAGAAAAGGACACUGCAUAUCACAGAGAGAUGCAUAGAUGUUACACUCAGAAAGAGAGUGAACAACUAGAAGAUGUGGAAGAAAAUUCCAAGGGCCAAUUUUGAAACAAACCAGGCAGAGACCCAGAUGCAGAAUCCUGCAGGCUGAGGGAUGUUAGGAAGAGUUAGCCCACCACUGCUGCGCUGAAACCAGGAUGACGCAAACUGGGCCUCAGGCCAGGCUUAGAAUAUAAACUGACACCUUGAAGAAGUGACCAUCUUGUAAUCAACACUUUAUUCUAAGGAUAACAGAGAUAAAUGAUAUAAGGAUCUCUGUUUCUUAAUGGCAUUGUUGAGCCCUAAACUUUCUACUGCUAGAUAUUUUAUCGCAUGAAAUAAAUAAGCCUUAGUUG
rnacentral:lncRNA from 10 species